GAUGAACGCUGGCGGCGUGCUUAACACAUGCAAGUCGAGCGGAAAUAUUUAAAGGAAGCCCUUCGGGGUGGAACUUAAAUAUUUUAGCGGCGGACGGGUGCGUAACACGUGGGUAACCUGCCCCUAUCACUGGAAUAACACACUGAAAAGUGUGCUAAUACCAGAUAAUAUAAUUAAGUGGCAUCACUUGAUUAUCAAAGAAUCUCGGAUAGGGAUGGGCCCGCGUCUGAUUAGCUAGUUGGUGAGGUAAUGGCUCACCAAGGCAACGAUCAGUAGCCGACCUGAGAGGGUGAUCGGCCACACUGGAACUGAGACACGGUCCAGACUCCUACGGGAGGCAGCAGUGGGGAAUAUUGCACAAUGGGCGAAAGCCUGAUGCAGCAACGCCGCGUGAGCGAUGAAGG
rnacentral:rRNA from 1 species